rnacentral:rRNA from 1 species
GACGAGUGGCGCAAGCGUUGUUCGGAUUCACUGGGCAUAAAGCGCGCGUAGGCGGCGCUGUAAGUCGGAUGUGAAAGCCCCCGGCCCAACCGGGGAAUAGCAUUCGAAACUGUGGUGCUAGAGUCUGGAAGGGGGGAGUGGAAUUCCUGGUGGAGCGGUGAAAUGCGUAGAUAUCAGGAGGAACGCCGGUGGCGAAGGCGACUCUCUGGUCCAGUACUGACGCUCAGAGCGCGAAAGCUAGGGGAGCAAACAGG